rnacentral:lncRNA from 1 species
GUGCUGAGCGGCAAGGCACAGCCGCGGGAAGGUAAACGCAGAGCCGAGGGGCCGGCCAGCACCUGGCCCUGACCGCCCCCAGGCCACGCAUUCCUUGUUACUUCACCUCCUGGCGGAUGGCAACCGUCCCAGCUUCGUGGACUGUCAGGGUCACCGAGAGUCCAGGGUGGUGGGAGUCCCCCACACGAGCCACUGGCACACUCCCUGAAGCAGAAGCCACGGCGCCAAAGCUGUGGGCUCAGGGAACUUGCCCAUUACCUGGCAGCCCCGCAUCUGUGCCAAAAUAAGACACAACUCAGCCCAGCGGAGUGGACAGUGUCUGCGGCCAGCUCUGGGAUCCAGGGCCAGCUGAUGCUGGGAACAGCCGUCCUUGCCCUGUGCCUCUCCACACUGCGAGAGCCCCUGCAGCCCAGAGGGGCUCCACCUCCCCUGCAAUGGGGCUCAAAAGACAAUCCUUCUACGGGGCUGGCAGGACAGACGUGACAGGAACAACGAUGGCCUGCUCCUCCCGGAAGGUGGCUUCAAGAGCACUCAGGAGGUGACAGAUGCUGUCAAGACCGGCCCAGGGAAGGCACAGGGCAGGUUUCCCAGCACCCACCACGCGCCAGCGAGCACAGAGCCUUCGCCUGAACCAUCCAGGCACCGCGCCCUCCCCCUCCGCACACACAGGAGCCCAGCUGCGAUUCCCUCUGCUCCACAGGAGAUGCAGCGAGCACCAAAGAGCCUUCCUCCAGGAUUAAGCCUGAUGCAGAAGUGGUUACACUGACUACGGCAAGCUGAGCCCUGCCGGCUGUUGUGCGCUCCGUGGAAAGGGAGAAGCACGGUCUCCAGCGGCUGCGUCAGGAGUGGUGCCUUGUGCACACCUCACAGGGAGAGAAGUCUCCAACGGACUGAGCGGAGGAAAAAAGAAAAAAGGAGAAAAGGAAAAAGAGCUGCAUACCUGGCAGGCCUACUGUGUGCAAAGCCCUUGAGUGACACACCCUAUGACCCACAGCACUGUGGCAAUCCCAGACACAUGCUUGGUCACUGGGCUGUGGAACAUACAGGAGCCCCGUGCUCCGGAACACGGACCACCCGACAGGAGCACGGACACAGCAGUCGGGGCGACGUGGGUGCCUCACAGAAGAGGGAAAAAGCCAGGAGGGCGGCACGUGGGCGCAAAGUUCUCAGCUUCGUUAGUCAUCAAGAAAAUGCAAACUAAAACCAAGGUAAGUGUGAGGGUUACUACUGAGUUUCAACUUGACUGGACUAAAGGAUGUGUAACUGUUCCUGGGAGCAUCUUGAGGAAGCUGCCAAAGGAGAUUCACAUUGAGUCAGUGGACGGGGAGAGGCCGACGAACCCUCCAUCUGGGGGGGCAUGAUCUCAUCAGCUGCCAGCACGGCAGAUCUGCGGAAGCACUGGACUGGCUGAGUCUUCCAGCCUCCAUCUUUCUUCCAUGCUGGAUACUUCCUGCCCUCGAACAUCAGACUCCAAGUGCUUCAGCUUUUGGGUUCUUGGACCUACACCAGUGGUUUGCCAGGGGUUCUUGGGCCUUCGGCCACAGACUGAAAGCUGCGCUGUUGGCUUCCCGACUUUUGAGGUUUGGGGACUCGGACUGGCUUCCUGGCUCCUCAGCUUGCCAACAGCCUAUUGUGGGACUUCACCUCAUGACUGUGUGAGUCAAUACUCCCAAUAAACUCCCCUCCAUAUAUACAUUUAUCCUAUUAGUGCUGUCCCUCUAGAGAACCCUGACUCGUACACACAAGUACUGGUGAAGGGGUGGAGCAAAGGAAACUAGUCCACUCUCAUCAGGGCCAACUCACGCACCUGGCAAUCUCUACUCAUACUGAACACAAGUAUGCCCUAUAGCCCAGCAAUGCCAUUCUGGACAUACACGUCCAAAAGA